UAAAUGCAUCUUAACUGCGGUGA
ensembl:miRNA mir-232 ncRNA